CGAACGCUGGCGGCGUGCUUAACACAUGCAAGUCGAGCGGUAAGGUCCUUUCGGGGGUACACGAGCGGCGAACGGGUGAGUAACACGUGGGUGACCUGCCCUCAGCUCUGGGAUAAGCCUGGGAAACCGGGUCUAAUACUGGAUAUGACUCCAUGACGCAUGUUGUGGGGUGGAAAGCCUUGUGCGGCUGAGGAUGGGCCCGCGGCCUAUCAGCUUGUUGGUGGGGUGAUGGCCACCAAGGCGACGACGGGUAGCCGGCCUGAGAGGGCGACCGGCCACACUGGGACUGAGACACGGCCCAGACUCCUACGGGAGGCAGCAGUGGGGAAUCUUGCGCAAUGGGCGAAAGCCUGACGCAGCGACGCCGCGUGAGGGAUGACGGCCU
rnacentral:rRNA from 1 species